CUCUAAGGAGACGUGUGAGAUGGAAUGAUAGCCGAGUUAGAGAUCAUGAGAUUGAGUUCCUGGAUCACUUGAUACAUUGGACAAGGUAGUCUCUUUGCAACUUAAGUUAAGAGGAUAAAAAGAGAAGGGAAGGGAAGGCAAGUAGCUGCAAGGUUGGAAAAAAGAGAAACUUAAUUAGAUAUUCUCCUGCUAAGUGAGAUAGGUACUUUCAGACAAUAGAGUUAUUGUGAGAAAGGUUUGAUUCAAAACUAAGUAAAUUUACAGGUGGACCCCACAAGCUCAGGCUGAUCACAGGGGCAAGACAGCACCCCAAGGAAGAAGAUAAGGAAAAGUCAGCCAACCUGCGCACAAUGAUGAAGAAUCUGACCUCCUGCCUUAAUAAUUCACUGAGACUCUUACUCCUUUCUUCCCUUAAAAAAUUGUUGCAUUUGAGCAGAAUCCUUGGCACUGGUCUCUGGACGAGAGUCCACUUUCUCCCCAGAUUGCCAGCUCUUCUGCAUAAAGCACAUUUCUUCUGCCAAAGCUUGCCCCCUGAUUUAUCGGCUGUUGAGCAGCAAACAGCCAAACCUGUGUUUGGUUACACCAACUGUUAGCUUCACUUUCUUCUCUGUGAUCACGAUUCUGUGUGCAUUUGGACUCUGGUCCUGAUGGCUUCAGAUGUGACUGCUUUGCAGAGAAGGCCCAACCUGUGGAAGUUUUCCAUCAUAUCAAGUUGAUGUUUUUAUGACCGUGACUUAAUGUUUUUGUAUAAAGAAGUUACCUAUUUAUAAUGGAAAACAAGGAGAAACAGAUUUUAUUGUGGCUGGGGAAAUGCUCCCUGGAAGAGGGGCCUUCUGCCAGUUAACCCUUCCAGCACAGACCAACCAGGAACCAGGCAGUUUUAAACCUGACAACACCAUGGAAUAAACAUCCUGGAUGGCCGGCUGUAGGAGAACACUCUCACUGCCCGCCCCCUCGAUUAUUUCUGGUUCACAACUGCGUGGCUGCCUGGUUUAUUUCGGAUUCGUGACUGAUCUAAAUUAUUUCUGUCAUUAAUUAAUGGCCAUCUGGCUUCUUUCCACCAGCGAUUAUUUUAAGGGGGCAUGCUUGGACCUUCAUUGACCAUGAGAAUCUGUCCAACUUCCACACUGUGUGAAUAUCCAAGACAAACACACGUAUCUACCAUUAAAACGGAGGAAGCAGACGCAACUAUUUACGACAAUGCUGUGAAUCAUCUGGGAUUGUUUCCUCUACUUGCAUGGAGUAAAACUGUAAAUGUCACCUCUCUGAUGAAAUAUACUUAUCUAUAAACAACAAAUGUGACCUUUGUAAAACUCCAAUUAAGAUGAUGAGUUCAAUGUGGUAGAGUCAUUCUCUGAUGAAGUUAAUACAUCUGGAAGCUAAAGUUAAAGGCUUUAAAUGUGUCACCUAAAUAUAUAUUUGUGUAAAGGCCUACUAAUGUUAUUAAACAAGAAAAAAGAUUAUAAAUGAUAAACCAAUGGAAAAUUAAUCUUGGUGUCAUCAGCCUGAUGUUAACACUUGGUAAUAAAAUUUCUGCAUGAUCUGCCAAGAGAAACCUCCUCCUGUAUAUCCUGUAUUAUGCACAUGUCUUUUAAAAUUUUACUUAUAAUUUUUUUGUUCCUUUCAAUGCAUGUGUCUUUUUGAUGAAUUUUAUCAGACUCGAGAUUUUUAAAAUCAAUUUUAUCAAAGUAUAAUUGCAUUUUUAAAAAGGACCCAUUUGAAGUGGUUUUAUAAAUUUUGAUCAGUGCAUAUAUUUGUAUAGCCACAGUCACAUUCAAAAGAAGCACAUUUCCACCCUCCCCAAAGGUUCCUCGUGCUCCUUUGUAGUAAUUCUCCCCACCGUAUUGGAUCUUGGAUCAACUGGAGUAAUUGAUAAUUGACUCCAUCACUGUAAGUUUCUUUGAUCUUCUUUACAGAUUCAUAUCCUUGGGUUUAUAUAAUACACAGUCUUUUAUGUCUGGCUUCCGUUGCACAGCAGAAAGAUUUCGAGAUUCAUUUACCUUGAGUGUACCAGUAUAUUUUUUACGUCACUAAGUCGUAGUAGAAUUUCAUUUUACAGUAUUUCUGUAUCCAUUCACCUGUUGAUGGCAUUUAGAUUUGGGGGGUGCUAUUUUAAAUAAAAUUGCUAUGGAU
ensembl:lncRNA